rnacentral:rRNA from 1 species
CCUGGUAUGUCGCUGGCCCACGCGGAUCGUUAACGUAACCGUUAGUGAGGGGAAAGGAGUAGCGUAAGGGUUUGGGGAGGCUCGAGAGAAAAGGUGGCGGCGAAGACGAGCAGCGGCCUAAUGCUAAUCGGGCUUGGGAGACGACGGCGACGAACGCACUACCGCAGCCGUCGCCUCCUCUUCGUAUUCUUAGUCCUCCGCCUCUGCCCCAGCCACUAACCCCCGUCUCCAGACCUGCACUCCUUCCUGCCCCACCGCUCCCUCCACCACGCCUACCUCUCCCUCCGCCACUAGGGGUAGUAGUUCGGGUUUGAUCAUUACUUCGAGCGGCUGGAGUAGCUCGUACUCCACCUAGCGUUACUCAAGGAUUUCGACACGUUCUUCCACCUCAUGUGGUAGUCCCGAACCAUAGAGGAGGUCAAGCUACUAAAUUACGUUGACAUGAGUGAUAAACUGGGACAAUUACCACUCUUCUCCGACCUUGUCGUCUUAGACUGUGGGCUCCUCUAGCUAUGAGAACUUAAGUUAAAGUACUGUAUAGAAAAGGUCUAUUACCUUUUCUCGUUGAAGUUCAACAAUAGACUACUUCUCAUACUACAACGUGUCAGACCUUUUAUAGAAAACUUGGAGGGGUAGUUUCAACUACUUAGAUUCGACCUGUUCUUCAACAACUGUUGUAUGAAAUUUCUUGUGGGUGUACUAUUAGACGGAUGUAAACGACUAUUCAUAUAAUAGAAGGCAGCACCGUAACCCAAGCUGGCAUGUUGACUAAUGAAACAGUACCUCUUUCACCUACAUGAGUAUAGGGCUCAAACCUCUAAUAACGUUUCCCAAUGGUCCUAACUAUCCAACAAGAGAUUCUUUGGUGUCAGCUUCAGUUCUUUGCUGUAGUUUUUCUGGCUGCUUUAAUAACUUCUGUGUCUUCUUGUUCUCGAUAAACAGCUUGCGUAAGCCGAUCUUUUUUAACUCGAUUCGUAUUUUUUGGACUACUCAUUCUACUGUUAAGUUCUUGGAUGUAAACUAUCCUACUAACAUCACAUGUCCGUCCGACCGUACUUCCGAUUCGGAUCAGCACCUUAUAAACAUUUCGUAAAGUUUUUAUAAGGUUACCGACUAUACCUUUAACAAGACGGUCUCUUCUUCUUAGGGUGAAAUUGUGGUUACCUAACCCAGUUCAAAGAAUAAAGACGACAAUAUCCAAACCAGUGAGAACAACCAAGAGAACUUUACGGCUUCCGACUACAUACCCAACAGUAACGUUAGUACAGACCCCACUAACCGAUAACACGAUUCUAGAUGAAGUGCAAAGUCGUUUUAUACUGUGAUAUAGUCUUAAACUAAUGUUUUAGUUACAUACUGUUUGUUGAACUAUCACCCUUUCCUUGUGAAGAUGUGAAUACACUACUACACUAUGUCGUUCUUCAAUUCCUCCAGUAUUAAAGAAUGAUAUAAAAUUACCUCGUUCCCUUCCGUUGAUAUGUUCUAGAACUAAACGUAACACUCCUCGAUUAAUUUCUCCUCAAACCGCGGCUCACGUUAAAACUACAAGUGCUACGACAUUUCUUCAAUCUCUUCGAACCGUAGCAAGUAGCCCUAAGCUAACCAUCUUAGAAUACACGAGGCAACUUCGCACGGUUGCUUUAGUAUCCGUGGUGAUGACUUCUUUACCACUGCGCUCGUGUUGUCUCGGGACGAAGAAUUGACAGUGGAGUUUACUUUACAUAAAGAGACAUAUUUUCGUGUUCGGUCUUGACUCUUCCGGUUUAGCUGUAAGUCAGCAAGUGGUACACACCAUGCUUUAGUCCUACGUGUAUAGGUUGGGUUGUUUUCAAGGUUUAUAAAGCUGUGAGGUUUGGUUUAACAUACCAGAUCCGCACAAGUGUAUACGUCCUCUUUGACCUCCACAUCUAACGACGUACGUGGAACGCACCAAAUACAUUGUAGGGUUUACACUGUUGAGAUAUAUAACAAUAGUCAAACAGAUUAAGUGUAAAUCUACAAAAAAUUCCUAC